rnacentral:rRNA from 1 species
UACGGAAGGCAGCAGUGGGGAAUAUUGCACAAUGGGCGAAAGCCUGAUGCAGCUAUGCCGCGUGUAUGAAGAAGGCCUUAGGGUUGUAAAGUACUUUCAUCGGGGAGGAAAAACAAAACUAAUAAUUUUAUUUCUUGACGUUACCCGAAAAAGAAGCACCGGCUAACUCCGUGCCAGCAGCCGCGGUAAUACGGAGGGUGCUAGCGUUAAUCAGAAUUACUGGGCGUAAAGAGCACGUAGGUGGUUUUUUUAAGUCAGAUGUGAAUCCCUGGGCUUAACCUGGAACUGCAUUUUGAAACUGAAAUACUAGAGUAUCGUAGAGGGAGGUAGAAUUCUAGGUGUAGCGGUGAAAUGCGUAGAUAUCUGGAGGAAUACCUGUGGCGAAAGCGGCCUCCUAAACGAAUACUGACACUGAGGUGCGAAAGCGUGGGGAGCAAACGAGGGAUUAGAUACC